rnacentral:ncRNA from 1 species
UCUCGGUGGAGGGAUUUGGCUCCAACAUGCGACCCCAACUCAGGCGAUAACACCCGUUGAGUUUAAGCAUAUAAUUAAGCAGAGGAAAAUAAACUUACAAGGUUUCCCCUAAUAACGACGAGCGAACCGGGAAGAGCCCAUCAUGAAAAUAAGGUGGUAGCAUUACCUGAAUUGUAGUCUGUAUAAGUGUCCUUAGCGAUGGACUGGGCCCAAGUCCCCCGGAAGGGGGCGCCUGAGAGGGUGACAACCACGUCGAGCCGGGACCCUGCCACACCAUGAGGCGUUGUCGACGAGUUGGGUUGGGGUUGUUUGGGAAUGCAACCCUAAUCGGGUGGUAAAUUCUGUCCAAGGCUAAAUUUGGGCGAGAGACCGAUAACGAAAAAGUACAACGAGGGAAAGAUGAAAAUGACUUUGAAAAUAGAGUUAAAGAGUGCUUGAAAUUGCUGAGA